ensembl:snRNA U6 U6 spliceosomal RNA
GUGCUCGUUUCAGUAGCACACAUAUUAAAUUUGGAAUGAUGCAGAGAUUAGCAUGGCCCCUGCACAAGGGUGACACACAAAUUCAUGAAGUGGGCCAUAUUUUU